GCAAAAUCUCUAGCAACCUCAUGACCCAACCCAACAACCAUUGAAAUUGUCUCCUCCCUUUGCAUCUCUCUAUAUCUUUCUCAUCUCUUGUUCUUUCUUUCUAUUUCCGCUCUCUUCUUUUAUUCAAACGCUCUCUGUAAUCUAUUCUCAGCCUCGACGCCUAACAAAAAACUGAAAUUCUCCUCUAUACUUUGUAAUCUUAAUCUCAAUCACUGAUUUUUCAGAUCUAUAUCUCCACUUAUCACGGAAUAAUGUCCUUUGCACGGAAUUAUCGUUCACACGGAGGAACGGGCCAUGAUGAUCGGUGGAACUCUUUGAAUGGGUACAAUUUCAACCAUGGAAAUAGGAACAUUGAUGCGAAUAGGAACACCAGCUACAGCUACAAUUGGAAUCAUAGCAAUAUCCGAGACUACUCCUCGGGGAAAUUCAGGGACCAUGUUAAUGGUUAUGCUAACCCUCCCAGUGGUGCACCAGCUUUUAAAAGGAGAAAAUUUAGUGCGGAUACCUGGGGAGAUGGUGGGAGAUACUAUCCUCAAUACAAUGCAUAUGAAUAUGCCGAUCUAUCUUACAACAAUUCAGUUCCUCUGCCAGCUAGAUCCAACGCCGAGGUCUCUACAUCUAUAAGUUGCAAACGUGAUUGUUCAAAACUGGAAGAAGAUGAACCAGUAUUCUUGUCAAAGGAUGAGAUUGAAAGACACUCUCCAUCUAGAAAAGAUGGAAUUGAUGCACUACGUGAAACGCAUCUGCGGUAUUCUUAUUGUGCUUUCCUUCAGAACCUUGGACUGCGGUUGGAGCUGCCGCAAACUACUAUUGGCACUGGCAUGGUUUUGUGCCACCGUUUUUUUGUUCGACGAUCACAUGCAUGCCAUGAUAGAUAUUUAAUUGCUGUUGCUGCACUUUUUCUCGCUGCAAAGUCUGAGGAGACGCCACGCCCUUUGAAUAAUGUCGUGAGAGCUUCUUGUGAGAUUUUCCACAAGCAGGAUAUUACUUUCUUGUCAUACCUGCUCCCUGUUGACUGGUUUGAACAGUACCGGGAUCGAGUUAUCGAGGCUGAGCAAAUGAUUCUGACAACCCUAAAUUUUGAAAUCAAUGUGCAGCAUCCAUAUGGUCCUCUGACAACCAUCCUUGACAAAUUAGGUCUUUCACAAACUGUUUUGGUGAAUCUGGCUCAAAACUUGGUUGGUGAAGGGGUCUACACAAGAUUAACGUGCUCACCUAUAUGAUAUUGUUAUCUGGAGGAUUGAUAUGCUGUGCAUGGAAAGUUUUUUAAACAUCUGAAGUUGCUUUGCCGAUGUGUUGUGGAUCACAUUACUGUGAUUCACUGCUCCCUGUCAACUGGGUUAUUUGCCAAAUAAGAUACCCGCAGAACAUCCAAAACCUUUUUUUCUUUCAACUUUUUCCCUGCUUUCUUCUUUUUUCACUUUCAUUUGGAGCAAGUUGUCUAGCCACCUCAUACAAACUCAAGUUUGUAAGACCUGGCUGCUUAUUUUGUUAGUUUCCAUUCACCCUGAUUUGGAGGAAACUAAUUGACUUGGCAAGGAUCAAGAGCCAUAGUGACUGGGAUUUAUUUUGUUCUUAUUCUUUUCCUCCUUCCUGCAUGAUUUUUUUCCUUGUUUCUAAAUGGUACGAGUCCGCAGAUAUUCUGUUUUCUUUUGUUCUUUCUUUGUUUCUUUUUUAAACCAUUAUGCAUCAACUCCUUUUUUCCCAGAAAAUUGGUUGCACUUUUUUGGUUCGGUUUCAUAAUUUUAGAAUAAAAACUUCAAUGAAUUUGUCCAACAAGUGUAGAUGUCCAAUUGUCAGAAGGUUAUGUAGCUGCAUAGUUGUUUGAUUGUGAGUUCUGAUGUGCAGUGUGAGAUUGCCACUUUUGUACCUUAAAGUUAGAGUGGCUAUCACCGUCUCAGUGGUUUGUUAUGGUUUGAUGGUGGAAAGUUGUUGAUGUUGCCAGUAUAGAUAGAAAUUUGAGAAGGUACAAGCAGCAUGCCAUUUUUUUUUUUCCUUUCCAAGGAUGCUCUAAUCCAAGUCCAAUGGGGGAUGAUGGUUGCAGUAUGCCAAUUGAGCUAUUGCUUGUUGUCACAAAUAUGCCAGUUUCUCAGUGCUGGUUAACUCACAAUUAUAAAAUGCAUAGAUAAAUUGUUUGCUUGGAAACUAUUGGCAUGCAAAACUAAGCGCAUGCCAAAACCAGGGAUAUGCCUAACAUUUUAUAGCAGUUUGAUAAUUGUCAUCAUCAUUAUUGGCCUGUCAUAGUGCAUAGAGCUCCCUGCAUUGCAAGCAUCUGGGAAAAAAAAUAGAUGUACGCAUCACUAUAUAUAUAUAUUUUUGGUUAUUGUCAUCAGCUGCUAUUGCUAUAAAUUUUACUAAUAUUGUUGUUAUUAAUAUCCCUGCUGUUAUUGUGCAUGCUGCACAUACACAUGGUGAGCCGGGUUGUCUUUUUAGGCUCAGCUAUCUAUGAAAGCUGAGGUCACAGUACUAUAUUCCUGCUACAUUUUAGUGUUAAAUACAUGCAGGCAUUCACGGAAUUGGAGUAUAUUAAAUGUUCUUUAGGAAUUCAAAAAAAAAAAGUGAAGCUUGAACCUUUUUCCUUUGGGUAAAAAUGGAAUUUGGGACCAUCUCCAUUUUGCUCAGGUCUUAGCUCUCUAUGCUGUCGCCUUGCCUUAUUAAAGAAAAGAUAUUAUUGAGCACAAAUGAACACUCAAUCUCUUAGGGCCCAGGGCUCCUGAUUUCUCUCAUGCUAGGCUUGGACUGGCAAUAUCAGGCCAGAGGUUGACCUGUGCGGGGCUUAAUUAGCUGCAUAGAUGAUUACUGCUUCUUUAUCAGUUUGUGGUGUUGACUGGCCAAUGAUGAGCUGCAUGGGGAAAUAUCUUCCCUCUAAGUCAAAAAUUUGAAAUUUUGAUUUGUUUUUCUUUUGUAAAGAGAAUUAAGAAACAACACCUUUCACGGCUCAAUUCCAAAAGCUGUUCUUGUUCUUAAAUGAGGAUUGUAGGAUGAGGGGCUGGGUUAACAAAACAAUGUUAUAAUAUUACAUUUUACUAUGUUUGCCCCCAGCAUCAGGCCUUGAACCUUCAGAUAUUCCAUCCCAAAUAUCCUCAGCUUCCUUCUAAUUCUCUAGCUUUGAACUUUUCAGGAUUCAAACAUGCUUUAUUUUUUUUUUUACCAUUAUCAGUUUUGAUAACCCCUCAUAUCAGUUUGAGGUUUUUAAUCACUCAAAACUAUGGUUCAAAAUUUUUCAAAACCCUUCUAUAUAGCAUGAUAUUCAUAUAUAUAUGGAGUUAUCCAGUUUAUAAGAUAUGUAUUCAAUUAUGCCUCAUCUUUUUGUUAUUGUGGAUGUGAAUGAUGCUUAUAGCUGGCUAGAGGAUUUGAGAUGGUGGUAUUCUAUAUCUGGGUUACCAGCGUGGUUCAUGAGCAUUAGUUCAUGUGUUUUGACAAGCCAUUCCAGAUGAAGUUGUUGAGCAGAAGAUGCCGAAUGUGCUGCUAGUUCUAUUUGUUUUAUUAUUUGAAUUGUGUAUGUUUCUGGAGUUAAAAAGCCCCUGCAUCAGAAUGGGCCUGGGGGUUGAUGUGUUUAUAAAUGAGUGUAAGAUGUUUUUUAUAGUUUUGGUACUCUAUCAGCCAUCCUGCAGAGUUUCUUGCAAAAUAUUCUUCCUGGGUUGCUGCCUUUUUGGUGGGCUCCGGAGCUCAUUGUGGCUUCAGUUUAAGCCCCAUCACAUUGCCGCUGGUGCUGCCUAUCUAGCUGCCAAGCUU